AGCCUCAUUCUAUUGAAAAUGGUCACUGUUGUUCAUAGUGUCCAUUAACUGUUAAUGUGGCUACAUUGAGAACACAGGUGUUGCUUCCAUCACUGUAAUUUUAUUGCAAUGGUGACAAUGAGAGCUGCACCAUUU